rnacentral:misc_RNA from 1 species
GGGGAUGGAUCCUCCCCCAAGUCUGGCAAAGCAGGAAGCCUCGUGCUAAGGAUGCCCUGUUCUAAUCAAGCUAAAAUAUGUCAGUCGUUUGACAUAUUGGUCCUACCCAAUUCACAAUCAAUAUUCCAACCACAAGAUAAUUGCCCAAUCAACUAGUAAGAGUUGAAUCCUAAAAAAGUAAAAUGAGAUGUAAAGUUUUUUGCACAGCGCCACCAAAAAUCCCAUCUUUAGCUGCUCUUUAACAUUAAUAAUUUCCAGAUUCCAAGUUUAGAAAAACCCUAUCCCCAGCCAUCCAAUUUCAAUACACAAAAUUGCGAAAAAGAUUAAGGAAAAGAUAUGAUAGAAUUAGUCAAUAAAUUUAGCUCAACAAUAAGCAAACCACAAGGAAAGCGUAAGUUUACAUUGCUGCCCUUCCAGACUUGGUA